rnacentral:rRNA from 1 species
AGAGUUUGAUCCUGGCUCAGAAUGAACGCUGGCGGCGUGCCUUACACAUGCAAGUCGGAUGUGUCGCAAGACACAUGGCAGACGGGUGAGUAACACGUGGGAAACUUACCUCUUAGUGGGGAAUAACGCUCCGAAAGGAGCGGUAAUACCGCAUGAGACCUAUCGCUGGGAUGCGAUAGAUGAAAGCUGGGGAUCGUAAGACCUAGCGCUGAGAGAGAGUCCUGCGUCUGAUUAGUUAGUUGGUGAGGUAACGGCUCACCAAGACUUCGAUCAGUAGCCGGCCUGAGAGGGCGAUCGGCCACACUGGAACUGAGACACGGUCCAGACUCCUACGGGAGGCAGCAGUGGGGAAUCUUGCGCAAUGGGCGAAAGCCUGACGCAGCAACGCCGCGUGGGUGAUGAAGGUCUUCGGAUUGUAAAACCCUGUCGUUAGGGACGAAGAUAUAAAUCCUAAUACGAUUUAUGUUUGACGGUACCUAGAAAGGAAGCCCCGGCUAACUCUGUGCCAGCAGCCGCGGUAAUACAGAGGGGGCAAGCGUUAUUCGGAAUUAUUGGGCGUAAAGGGUGCGUAGGCGGUUUUUUAAGUCAGAUGUGUAAUCCCCGAGCUCAACUUGGGAACUGCAUCUGAAACUGGAAAACUAGAGUGCUGGAGAGGAUGGUGGAAUUCCACGUGUAGCGGUGAAAUGCGUAGAGAUGUGGAGGAACACCAGUGGCGAAGGCGGCCAUCUGGACAGUAACUGACGCUGAAGCACGAAAGUGUGGGUAGCAAACAGGAUUAGAUACCCUGGUAGUCCACGCCGUAAACGAUGUCAACUAGCCGUUGGAAGCCUUGAGCUUUUAGUGGCGCAGCUAACGCAUUAAGUUGACCGCCUGGGGAGUACGGCCGCAAGGUUAAAACUCAAAUGAAUUGACGGGGGCCCGCACAAGCGGUGGAGCAUGUGGUUUAAUUCGAAGCAACGCGAAGAACCUUACCAGGCCUUGACAUCCAAUGAACUUUCUAGAGAUAGAUUGGUGCCUUCGGGAACAUUGAGACAGGUGCUGCAUGGCUGUCGUCAGCUCGUGUCGUGAGAUGUUGGGUUAAGUCCCGUAACGAGCGCAACCCUUGUCCUUAGUUACCAGCACGUCAUGGUGGGCACUCUAAGGAGACUGCCGGUGACAAACCGGAGGAAGGUGGGGAUGACGUCAAGUCAUCAUGGCCCUUACGGCCUGGGCUACACACGUGCUACAAUGGUCGGUACAGAGGGUUGCCAAGCCGCGAGGUGGAGCUAAUCCCACAAAACCGAUCGUAGUCCGGAUCGCAGUCUGCAACUCGACUGCAUGAAGUCGGAAUCGCUAGUAAUCCCGGAUCAGCACGCCGGGGUGAAUACGUUCCCGGGCCUUGUACACACCGCCCAUCACACCACGAAAGUCGGCAACACCCGAAGCCGGUGGCCUAACCGUAAGGAAGGAACCGUCGAAGGUGGGGUCGGUGAUUGGGGUGAAGUCAUAACAAGGUAGCCGUA